AUACGGAAGGUGCAAGCGUUAAUCGGAAUUACUGGGCGUAAAGCGCGCGUAGGUGGCUUGGUCAGUCGGGUGUGAAAGCCCCGGGCUCAACCUGGGAACUGCAUCCGAUACUGCCAGGCUCGAGUACGAGAGAGGAGAGUGGAAUUCCAGGUGUAGCGGUGAAAUGCGUAGAGAUCUGGAGGAACAUCAGUGGCGAAGGCGGCUCUCUGGCUUGAUACUGACGCUGAGGUGCGAAAGCGUGGGGAGCAAACAGGAUUAGAAACCCCGGUAGUCC
rnacentral:rRNA from 1 species